UGGAUCACCUCCUAACAGGGAGACAAAACAAUGAUUUUGAUGUCUGAGUAAUUUAUUCUUAGGCCGAAAUCCUGUCACCUUAGGUCGAUCGGUACCUCAACAUUUUUUCAAAGACUGAUGAGUAAUCAUCAAGAGAUUGAAGGAGAUGUUCAGUUCCUAAACUUUGUCUAGGUCACACCCCGCAAGGGAAGAGUCCCCUGGGCCAUUAGCUCAGGUGGUUAGAGCGCACCCCUGGUAAGGGUGAGGUCCCUGGUUCAAGUCCAGGAUGGCCCAUUCGGUGUUGGGGGUUUAGCUCAGUUGGUAGAGCGCCUGCUUUGCAAGCAGGAUGUCAGGAGUUCGAGUCUCCUAACCUCCACUGACCGAACUCAAUCUCCAUUGUCCGGUUACCCGGAGGAUGAACUCGAGGGAAUGUGAUUUAGAUGUGUCCACUAGAUUGGACCCCAGCUUCCUGUCAUGCCAAAUGAGCAAGUUUUGCUUUAUUGGUUGAUAAGAUGCUGGGCUCAGAUUAAUCGAAAGAUUAAUUUGAUGUCUAGUAGAACCUUGACAACUGCAUAGGUAAGUCUGGAAAAACAAAGCAUCUUACAGAUGUAUUGUUUUAAGCCUGAAUUCUCGAAAGGGAAUUUGGAAUUAGAACAAUGAAAAUUCUUUUGAGCAAGAGCCGAGACUCUUAGAUGUUCUUUGAUUCGUGUCGAGCGAAUCAGAGUUUGAUUUUGUUUUUAUGAACAACUAAAGUUGUUAAUGAAACCAGAAGAAUCUGCUUUCAACCGCAGUAAGCGUUUAAGAGGUUAAUUGGUCAAGCUACAAAGGGCUCACGGCGGAUACCUUGGCACACAGAGGCGAUGAAGG
rnacentral:tRNA from 1 species